rnacentral:rRNA from 1 species
UACAGAGACUGCAAGCGUUAUUCGGAUUCACUGGGCGUAAAGGGUGCGCAGGCGGCCGUGUGUGUGAGGCGUGAAAGCCCCGGAGCUCAACUCCGGAAUUGCACCUCAAACUACACGGCUAGAGCAUUGGAGAGGGUAGCGGAAUUCACGGUGUAGCAGUGAAAUGCGUAGAUAUCGUGAGGAACACCAGAGGCGAAGGCGGCUACCUGGACAAUUGCUGACGCUCAGGCACGAAAGCGUGGGGAGCAAAAGGG